UAUAGUGAGGAGUGCAUUUCUCAGUCAUGUCAUGUCAGUAAUGUUAGAGUCCCACAUUGGCUAGAGAUGUCUAUGGGAAUUCCUAAUCAUUCAUAAGUAAUUGAAAAAACAUGUCCCCUAUGUCGAUACGCUGAAUGGGACAUACAGAUACAAGAUUUGAAUAGUAGUGAAGGUUUUCUGAUAGGAAUUUGUAUUGAAACAUGGGGAUAGUCAAAAUUGGCGAGCAUAAUAGAUGAGGACAAGUGUGUACAGAGUACAGACAAACGCUGCCCAUGUUUCAAGCAAAAGGAUAUGCAACACUAGCUAAGGUAGCAAGUUGUAGAAUGCCACCACUUUUAGCUCCAAGCAUUGUCCAAACCAAAUGAGUACCUACUACUAUAAAUAGGUUUGCAAGGGUAGUAAAAGAAUGAGCAAGGUGAAGAAGAUGGUGAAAAAAGCAGCUUUGGUCAUUGCUUUCUCAUGCCUCUUGCUGGUGAUGGCUUUCACAGCCAUUUCAGCCAAUGCAGAUAAAACAAGCGGUCAUCUCCCAACUUCCAAUAAUAUGGUUUACUAUCCUCAAGCAGGUUGUCGAUGCUGCACGUUCAUAUUGAAGCCAAUGCUCAGAUGUGGCAAAGUAUGCUGUGUAGAUGGUUGUUGCUCUUCAACUUGAACGUCACAAGGCUAAAGAAGACACCCUCUAAGUUCAUACACCUCUUACCCAGAAACAUAAGUAUGUGCUACUAAAUAAUUAUGCAGGAAACCAAAUGAAUAAGUGCCCUGCAUAGAAGUUUGUUGUGUAAUUGAAUAUUGAUUACUAAUGUAAUCAAACUUUUACUUUGAA